ACGUGGGAAUCUACCAGAAAGUGGGGGAUAGUUCAUCGAAAGGUGGCUCAAUACCUCAUGUUGUCGAAAGACCAAAGCAGGGGAUCUUCGGACCUUGCGCUUUCUGAUGAGCCCGCGGCCUAUCAGCUUGUUGGUGAGGUAAAAGCUCACCAAGGCGAUGACGGGUAGCUGAUUUGAGAGGAUGAUCAGCCACACUGGGACUGAGACACGGCCCAGACACCUACGGGUGGCAGCAGUCGAGAAUCUUCCGCAAUGGGGGCAACCCUGACGGAGCGACGCCGCGUGGAGGAAGAAGGUCCU
rnacentral:rRNA from 1 species